CUUGCAAUUAAGAGUACAUAAUGCAUGGAUUUGCACAUACUGUUAGGCUGAGAUCAGUGUGUAAGUAGUGCAGCCGUACCCAGAUUAUAAACCCUGUAUUUGGUGAGAUUUCGCAAUUUUUUAGGAUGCAGGAAAAAUGGAGCGCUGUUUGGGCUCUAUGAAAGGCCUUUUGAUAGUGUAGAGAUAUUGUGUGUUUCCUCAUCUCAGCUGAAGACAGGGUAGAAAAAACUGAAUUUCCGAUUAGGGACUUGAUUCCAGCUUUUCUGUAUUUGUUUUUCUUCUUUUUGAUAUCAAGUAAUGUCCUAAAAUCUCAUCAUUAUUUACUGUGAGACACACUCCGUUAAAGCAUCUUGAGGCGACUCAUUUGAACUUAAUUAAUGGUAAACCAAAGUAUUUAUAGGGUGGUUAUAGGAAAGCUGUAGGGCCUCAACCUAGUCCCAGUCUCAAUCUAACCUCAACAUUAAACACAUAUCAUCAUCACUUUAAAAUGCAAUGACUUAUGUGUAGCCAACAUCUGUAGAUGGAUGUGGCUGAUACAUUUUCGAACUUGGCAACCAAGGAAGCUUGAUCUUUUACAGUUGUAACAGUAAACACUGCACAAUAAUAAUUUCACUUACUUCAUUUGAUUUAUAUUUUUCUGUCCUUUUUGUCUUGCCAGCCUGAAUUUGUGACCCCUUCACUGUAUCUUAGAUACCUGCCUGCUUUAGUUCCUUUCUUCUUUCUAUAUCUGGCUGCCUUUCACAUAAUGACUGCCUUUUAUUUUUGUUCAAGUAAACACUGUUUCCUCUCCUCUCACGCUUCAUGCAGCAAACACAUUUUUUUUUAAAAGACGCACUUGGAGUUACUUUAGCGAUGCUGAUUGCACCUGAAAAAUAGAAAUGCCUCCUACACUUUUCUUCUGUUGCUGUGUGCUCAUACAGCGAACAAUAUUAUUUCUUCAGUAUAUGUUGAAAAUUACUCACCAUGCAUUUCUAUUAUGAACUGGCAAACUUUUAGAAAGUGUCUUUUAUGUAUUGAGUCAGACACUGUCUCAAUUUGGGUACUUCUGUGAGCACACAAUGUGCAGUACUUACUGGCGUGAUACAUGUUUGACAGAACUGUGUUGCCUCAAACUGAACAUGCAAUGACAGCUGCACCAUUUUGACCAUGAUUUGCACCUUUAGCAAACAUUUACAGCUUGUCAGGCCUUUUGCCAUGUAUAACACAUAUAUAACACUGUUUUCUAUGUCAUGAAUGGCAAAUUAACACACAAACAUGAGGUAAUACCAAACCGCUGUAAUUUCAGUGUGCCCAAGAACUGCUGCUGUGAGCUAGCAUAGACAGUAUAAAAAUCUGAAAAGCGAAGACAAGAAACUUGUGCUUCACAUGUGCAUUCUUUUUAAUGGCCACUAGGGGGUGAGGCGAAGUUCAUACAAGUCCACAGUUCGUUUAAUAAAUCACGUUUCACGUUUAAUAAAUGUUGAUAAGGUUGCAUUACUUUGCAUGUGUAUAUGCCUACAGAGCACCUACUGAAAACGUGCUUCUUUGCAGUCCUCCAAAAUCCAGA
rnacentral:lncRNA from 1 species